AGAAACAAGUGUUUGCUAUGAUUUAGACAGGUCCUUCUACUGCUCUUUCUAGUGCCCAUCCUAUUAUUCAUCAUGAUCACAAUGAUGCGAGUGAUGAGCAGUCGGUGGAUAAAGACGAAAAUGUGUGAUGGAGGAUUAUGUCGGAUGUAUUGAAGUUGCACCCAAGAAGAAGGGAGCAGCUGCUUCUGCGUAUUGAAGCUGCACCCAAGAAGAAGGGAGCAGCUGCUUCUGCGUAAGCCUUUAAUUAUAGUAGUGGAGUUAUUUUUGUGUUGAAUAAUGAUCUUUGGAAACAUUACUCUAUUUUUAGUUUUCAUUUCCUGUUUUAAUAUGUAAUUGCAUUAAGUUUCAAAAUGAGGAUUCUAUGACAUUUUGUUGUUCAA